rnacentral:snoRNA from 1 species
AAGCCAUGAUGAGGACAUUUCAAAAAAAAAUCCUUGUAGUGCUCCCAUGCAUCAUGAAAAGGUUCAUGGGCUU